UGCUGACCUAGGGACAAUUUGUAACUGAAAAUCUUAAGCACUUGCUGCUUUUGUUGAAAUACAUGUGCUUUGGAUUUAUUAGUAUUAUAUAUGUUCAAGUUUAUUCCAGUUAGUAGUUGUAGGGACUGAUGGUGAAAGAUCAGCAAGAAGUUCAAGUACAGAAGCUCAAGCUUCUCAAACAGCUUGUGCAAGAUCUACAUCUGUCUGGGAACAGACUACAAGGGUGGUUUGGAAGGAAGACAUCAGUCUUUGUGCAGUGGACACAAAAAUAACAGCUGUGAUACUAAAYAGGAGGCCUGGAAGAAGCUGAUGUGAAUGAUCAGGGGUGACACAUGGAUAAUCAGCAGAAGAACACAUGCUGAAGACCCCUAACCCUUGUGCAAAUCCUGAAGAUGCAUCCUUGGAAGCAUGCACUUUUUCUGUGAUAGAAAGGGAAAAUGCAGCCUUCUGCUUUACUGGAGUUUGCAAGGACACAGUAUAUUUGCUUAAGAGGGCACUCUACUGGCUACUUUUUGGAAGUUUCUUGCUCCUUCUGCCUGCUGGCUCUGACAUCCCCAUUCCAGAGGAAGUGAAAUGCAGCAUCUCUUCUAAGAGGGAGCGUUGGAGGUGGUGACAUCUGAAGACUGAGGAGCUCAAGGGAAGCUUCAAAGAAGACAAGACUGAUGAGAAGUGUAGUUUCCAGACUGACCAUCCUUAUAUAGUGCAAGCUAUCUUCUUGGGGUAUUUUACUGCUUAGAUCUCAGUCUCACAGAGAGCACUCCUGUGGAACCAUGAAAAAGUAAAUAGCAAGGUAGCUGUUUUCUGGCUUCUUUGGUCUCUCUGAUACCUUUACUCAAGGUCAGGAAUCAACAAAUGGAAUAUGUCCCCUGCAAAUCAGUUAGAACAAUCUAUCAGUAACUUGUGGCCUUGAGCUAUUGAAGAAAGAUCCAUAUUCACUUUCCCGUGAAAAUUUCAUCUGCUAAGUCACCUACAAGAACAGUGUUUUUAAAUGCAAGUUCUGUUUAAAUGUUAAUAUACAGAUGUUAAUAGCUUUUAAGUAUUAAUAUGUUUUCUUAUACCUCUCCUUUUUCCUCAUCGCUUGUUUUGUUAGAGCUAAAGAAGAGAUGAAAGACUUGUAAUACUGUACAACAGAAGUUGCUGGGUGCAUUACUGUUGAUUAUUUUGGGAGCCACAUCUGGCCUUGAGACCCAGUUACUUUUAAAACCUGUAUUUAAAUUGCUGACAGGAACAUUUUAAAUUAAUUGUUAGCAAUCUUGGUGUAGUUGGUGUUAUUCUUCCAAACUUAAUAGCUUAUUAUCAAAAGCUUCAUGGCAGACUAUAUAUUUAAAACAAUGCAGUGUACUGCAUGAUCUUUAUUAGGAUGUGAAGAGCAGCCCAAGGAAGUCAUUUUAUGUGCCCAGAAGCAAGUGUACAGUAUUUGCUUUUCAAAACCAACAAAUUAUGCUAGGCACUUAAGUGCUACAGGGAAAUUCCGUAAUAUUUGCAUAUUUAGAAGAGAUCUAGGAACCCAGGACUCCAGUGUCCUGCUACAGGGCAGACCUGUCAGGGGACUGCCUGAGGGCAGUAGGCACUGGGACUGCAGAGCCUGUGACAUCCAACAUCCACACGUCUGAGUUAUUGUUGUUCUAUGCCCUCAUGCCAUGAGACUAGAAGCCCUUGAUCUAGGUAGAGCUGACAUGCGGGCUCACAGAAGAAAAUCCGGAAACACUGUGAACCUCAGCUGCAUGUAUUUUCUGUAGUAAGGAAGAGUAUUAAAGACUUGCUUAUUCCACAUAUACUUAUGGCCUAUCAUUAAACAGAAGUUGAACUACAGCUGUACAGAGCAUGAUUCUGCUCUCAUUUGUAGUGGAAUUACAUUGACAUAAUUUGAUCCGUUUCCAUGGAAUUACUCAUCCCAGUGUGAGAGGAGAGGCAUGACCAGAUUUUAUAGUGGCUUCAAAAGUUUGUCAGUACUUAAUGGCAUAUUUUCCAUAUGUGCUUGCUUUUUCUAGAAAUUAAAUACAGCACAAAAGUGGAAAUAAUCAUAUCAGCAAACUGUUAAGAUCUUAUGGCUUAUUUUAAAACUUUAUGUACUGAUUUAUUUUAUGUUUGCGUAUAACAUGCUUAUAUUGUUGAGUUAAAAAUUGACAUUAUUGCUAUGGCUGUAUGAGGUGUUCUGCUUUGAGACAAGGCAUAUGACUUAGCUUAAAAUAUUUCCUGUCUGAAUACAUUUUAAUAAACAAAUAAACCAC
ensembl:lncRNA